rnacentral:lncRNA from 1 species
UUUACACUCUUAAAUGCUUAAUGACGCUACGUAGCAUCGAACGCCUGGCAUUUACACUCUUAAAUGCUAAACAACGCUAACGUAGCAUCGUUAGCUACCCGGUUUUAUACACGCUAGAGAAAUGUACGUAGACGGUGAUUGAUUGAUUGUCUGUCCGCGCCAGAGCUGGCGUCCGGCGAGGACCCCGACGUCCCUCUGGUAGCCCAGGAACUGAUGAGGAGGAUGGUCCGGCAGUUUGCUGCGGAGUACGCCUCCAAGACGCGCCUCACCACCUCGACCGACACGGGCUCCCGGCGUCCGGACCUCGACACGCCUCUAGACCUCACUGUGACGCGGAACCAGGAGGAGGAACCCACACCAGCUGACACUGUGCUCGACCUCUCCAAGCGGAACUCUGCCAGCUCGGCCUCCACAUCACCCACCAAUCACAAAGCCUCAGGGUGAGUGUCUCUCCUCUCAUUGGUCCAUACUCCACAUCACCCACCAAUCACAAAGCCUCAGGGUGAGUGUCUCUCCUCUCAUUGGUCCAUACUUCACAUCACCCACCAAUCACAAAGCCUCAGGGUGAGGUGUCUCUCCUCUCAUUGGUCCAUACUCCACAUCGCCCACCUAUCACAAAGCCUCAGGGUGAGGUGUCUCUCCUCUCAUUGGUCCAAACUAGCACGCUACUUAGUAUGCAUAGCCAAUAGAGUAGUGGGGACAGUGUUAGGUGGUCUGUAUCAGUAGUCUGUCUAGGGGUGGGUGUAGUGGGGACAGUGUUAGGUGGUCUGUAUCAGUAGUCUGUCUAGG